AGUCGGUCGCUUUUGAAGGGAGGAGCUUCCCAAACUCAAGAGUCCUGUUACUGAAAAUCGCAGAUUUAGGAGUGAAAGCGAAGCUGAAGCUCGAUCUACCGUCCCUUCUUUAAAGCAGAUCUUUGCGCGAAGGACGCACACUUUGCCUUAUCGCCCAGGGCCAGACUCUCAGGACUGAAGCAUGGAUGAUGAUUUUGAACGGCGCCGGGAGCUCAGGAGACAGAAGCGUGAGGAGAUGCGCCUAGAGGCCGAAAGGAUGGCCUCUCGUAGAACUGAAGAGGAUGAGGAGGAGGCCGCCCGUGAGCGCAGACGAAGAGCGCGACAGGAGAGACUCCGCGGUAAAGAGAGCGAGGAUGUGCCUUACCAACCGGAGAGCACAGAGCUCAACAACAGCCAUAGCGUGAUGAUGACAGAAACCGUGUCCUCUUCAAUGGUGUCCUCCAGCAGACCUGGUAAUGAAGAUGAUGAGGAAGAGGCCCUGCUGGAUCGUCUGGCUAAGAGAGAGGAACGCAGGCAGAAGAGAAUGAAGGAAGCGCUGGACAGACAGAGGGAGGUGGAGACCAGCCAGAGCUCCCACUACGGCCUAGAGGAGAGCGAUGUCGGCCUGCGACGCGGCCGGAGCUAUGAAGCUGAGGAGGAGGUGAACAGCAAACAGGAGGAGAAACAGGAGGAGGAAGACACUCCUAGUGAGGAAAGAGAGGAAGAGGUUGUGGUGGAAAAGCCAAGGAGGUCUUACCUGAGUGAACAGGGCAAUAGUGAGCCUCCUUCCUCUAAAGAAAAUGAGGUGAUUUUAAAUGAAGGCGCAGAUGAUUCUGCGGUUGUUUUGGAGACGGAGGUGGAAAACAGCGCAGCAGAGCUCACUGGGGAUUUACAGGAGGAAAAGAGAGGGAUUGAGAGAGAGGGGUUGACAGAGAAUGGAUUGAAUAAAAUAAAAGAGGCAGAGAGCUUUGAAAAAGAAGAGACAGAGCUUUCAGAAAAUGAGGUUUUGAUGGAAGAUGAAGAUGUGAUGAGGAAGAACAAACAGCCGAAUGGAGCAGUGUGUGAGGAGAGCACUCCCAAACACAAGAUAGCAGAGAGGAGCUUCAGCCGUGGCAGCCUUCGUUCUCCCGAGGUGCCCGAGGCGGAUGAUGCCGACGGUGAGGAUGCUCGUCUGGAGGCCGAGAGAAAGCUGGAGGAACUGAAAAGGAGACGAGAUGAAAUAGAGAGCGAGGAGUUCGAGAAGAUGAGGCAGAAAUCGCAGGAGGCCGAAGCCGAGCUGGAGGAGCUUAAGAAGAAGAGGGAGGAGAGGAGGAAGGUUCUGGAAGAGGAGGAGCGGAGGAGGAUGCAGGAAGAGGAAGAGAGGAAAGCCAGGGAGGAGGAAGAGAAAAGGAGGAUGAAGGAGGAGAUCGAAAAGCGCAGAGCCGAGGCGGCCGAAAGGAGGCAGAAGGUGGAUGAUUCGGUGGAUGGAGAGGCCAGAAAGCCUUUUAAAUGCGUCAGCCCCAGAGGAUCAUCACUGAAAAUCGGUGAAAGAGCGGAGUUCCUCAACAGAUCCGCACAGAAGAGCUCGGUGAAGUCGUCUCAUUCUCCUGUGGUGUCUAAGAUUGAUAACAGAUUAGAGCAGUACACCACUGCAGUGCAGAGCAACAAGGAGGUCAGAUCUCCUAAAUCCGCUGCUAUAGAUCUUCCUAUGGUGACGGAUGGUAUUCGUAACAUUAAGAGCAUGUGGGAGAAGGGGAAUGCCUUCGGCUCUGGUGGGAGCCCGGCAUCCACCAACAAGGAUGCAGCUGGGAUAAAGGUGGGCGUGGCCGGCCGCAUCAACGAUUGGCUGACUAAAACUCCAGAGACGGGGAAGGCGUCAGGAAGACCAGCGUUAGAUUUCCCUUUGCUUCUCGGUACUCCCAUCUUCUUUCCCUCGGGCUUCCUUCAUCUUCCUUUCUUCUGUUCUUUCUCUUUCCGCUGAAGAUCAGGACCUGAAGCCCGGUGACGUGACCAGCAAACGCAGUCUAUGGGAAAACAAAGGUUCCUCUGCUACCAAGAUCUGACCACGUUGAGGAGACGAGCAGAGGAGAGACAAAAUCCGUCACCAACGGAAUGGGCCAUUAACCCUUCAACGAUGCCAGAGAGGCAGGGACCAAGACAAUGCACAACAUUUCUUUUUAAAACCUAAUACCAAAAAAUACAAGCAUUUUAUACUGCCCAGGAAUGUUUAUGCGAGUAGUUACCGUAUAAAAGAGAAAGAAAAGUAUAUAUUUUAUCACUGUUUUCACAGUCCUACGUCUUGCACCCACUUUAAUGACGUGCCUUUGCACGCGACGUCCUUUGAUAUGAAAUUUAGGCUGUAAAGAUUUGACACUAUUGUUUAGAUGACAAUAUUAUAAAAAGCAGCCAUCUCUGAACAUUCCAAGAUUCCUUGCUUAGAAGAACAAGGAGUAACAACAUUCCAAAAGCAUUUGUUUUGUCAAAACUCAGUUAGUCACACCUUUUCACCUGUUAAUUUAUAACUAAAGCAAAGCUUCACAUUGCAUUUCAUAUUCGCCUGUUUCAGACAGAAUAUGAGCACCCGUAGAGUAGCUGUAUUUUGUACUUUUUUUGUCGUAGCGACACUUUUUUAAAUGCUCUUAAUAAUAUAUGUUAGCACAUAGUGUACGUUUUUGUAAUUAACUAUAUAUUUUACUGCUUGAUACAAGAUUGUGUCUUUGCUUUUGCGCUCAAUAUUAUUUUAUAUCGAAGCGAGUUUUAAUUCAGCAGAAGACCAUUAUAGUCUUACCAUUAUCAAUUAUUAGCUUUUUUUACUCUUGGAUACACUGGUCUAAAGUUUCUUUGUGACCAUCUUUCUUAAAGUGUUAAUAACUAUGUGUCUGUAUUCACAAAGGCAGUUAGCAACUGUUAAUUAGAAAUCUGAACAAAGGGAACGUGCACUUUUUGGCCUAAAUCAUAUAUUUGAUUUUACAUAUUUGCAUAUAAUGCACAGUCAACUAAGACUUUCGGUCACUAAUGCAAACCCUGCUGAAAAGACCCAGCAUGAUUUGACAUGUUGUUUUUGCUUGGUUAGUGCUUGCUGGUGUACCCACUUAUCCUUGGUGAAGCAUAGCUGGUUGACCAGAACAUGACAUAUUUGUGACCAGCAGCUUUGGUCUUUUCAACAGAGAAAGGUCAAAUUUAAGCCCAAUUCACAUUUUGUGAAUUACUUUUUUUUUUGACUGUCUGCUAUCUGUGUUGCAGUCAGUUCAUCUAAAAUUGUAAUGUUGACCACUUAUAUAGCAUUUGUUAUUUGUUGUCCUCAUUUAAACGAUUUACAUAUGUAUCACUUCUGACACUUCCGUCAGAUAAAGAUUAUUCAUUUCUGACGACUCAAGUUGACGUUCAUGUUUCUAAAUGUUCGACGAUUCUGUAUUCUGCUUGUAUUUUUGACAAUCAUUUUCGUAAACACUUAUGUAUUGUUUCUGAAUAACACUAUGCAAGUCGCACCACCUUUAAUUCCAGUAACCUUGUUAAAUCUACGACUUAUUGUAGCCAACAGUUUCAUACGAAACAAAUGUGUGAACCAUAUAUCAUGUCUCAGCAACCACAAUAAAGAGAUCCAUGAAAACAC